rnacentral:lncRNA from 1 species
AUACUAGUCCACCAGUGACCCCGGACAGUAACAAAGCAUUACAGCCCGAACCCACCUCCCGCCACCAUCGUAGGUAAGAGCGUGUGAUACUUCGUUCGGAUAACCCAGCUCUUCCCUCAGUUGGACCGAACUGUUUGGCCAUCUUAUACCAAUACGUAUUUUUGUUUUGGAUUUUGGGACUUAACACAAUUUUUCUCUUAGGUAUUCCUUCUCUUUCCAUUAGAAUUGUUAAACACCACUGUUCAGGAAGACUGAGAUUUAAAGGGACAAUAACGUUGAGGGAAUUUCCGUAGAAUAACAAAGCAAAAUGGAUGGAACAGCAAAUUUGAUCAUUAAUUGUAUGGCUUUCUGCAUCUAUAGAGGUGAAUAUAGCUCCCAGAGGACUUUAAAAUGUGAUCAGCUGUGUUUGUAUAUUCUUCCCAUUCAUUCAUUCAUUCAUUGAAUUUGUUGAAUACUUAGCUAGUUUUGUGCUAUAAAAUAUAGAAGUAAACUUCAAAACAAAACAAAACGAAACCUCCUUUUCAUCCACUUGCUUUGAUAUAUCCAAAGCUGGGACCAGGAACAUAAUGUUCUAAUGUUUUUUUUUUUAGCACUGCUGGACAAGCAACUUCAUGUUCUCACUUCUCGUAUUUCUUGGAUACUGUAUAUAGCCAUAAUUGUAAGGCUAAUAGUCCAGGUAGCAUGGCCUUGUUGCUCAGUGUAAUCAUCGACCAGCCAUCCCAGCAUCUUCUGGGAGCAUGUUUCUUGGAAUGAGUAGAAGCUGCACUUGGGCACAGUAUAAUAGUGACUUGGAAACUUUGGACUGUGGCUUACCUUAGCUUUUUGUAGCACCAGGCUUUCUUCUGUGUCUUCUUGUAUGAGAAAAGAAAAUCAGUAGUUCUCAACCUUGGCUGCCCAUGACAGUCACCUGGGAAGCUUCUAAACCAGACUUCAGACCAGUUGCAGAUAGAAAUGGAGACUAUGUGGAAUAUAGAUGACACUAAGGUAUUUGAGACAUGGUUUUCAUGCUGUUAGGCGUAAGAUUGGUUUUCACCUUCCCUCUUGGCUUUACUUAAAAUACCAUGGAGACAGGGAGGAGUAUUAGGUUGGGUGGGUGUUGAACCAAUGUCCCAGUGACUGGUUACCUUGUCAACCAGCUUCCCAGUAAUUGUUACUUUGCCAUAUAUGUCUUUUCCUUAGUCUAAGUGGGAAAGAAGAAUGAACACCAUUUGUUUUACUGAGUCUCACAUGAAUGUUUCCAUUGUGGAUAUUCAUGUUUUAUGAGUAUGUAGGAAAACAUUAUUACACUGAAAUAUUGCUUGUUUGCAAUUUUUACAGUGCUACUAAGGGUAGUGAUGUAGUGUGGAUGGGUAAAAAAAUCAGUUCUGAAACGUCUUCCCUGACUGUACAUCCUACUUCCUUCACCCCAGCUCCAUCUCUGAGAUCUAAAAGACAGUUACCCACCCUUGUGCUUGAGUUUCCUAACUUGUAAGGUAGGACUCCUGUGAGAGUUAGCUAAGUUAAUACAAGCAAUGUGCUUCCUAAGUACCUGGCAUGGGCUGGAGAGCUGGCCCAGAGUCAAGAGCUGUGUGCUGUUCUAGACAACCUGAGUUUAGUUCCCAGCACCUAUGUCAGGCAGUUCACGAUUGCCUGUAACUCCAGCUUCUUGGGAACUCAGAGGUGUCUGAUGUCUGCGGGUGCCUACACUCACAUGUGCAAAGGUGCACACAGUCACACCCCCAUGCACAUAAAUUAAAAAAAUUCUUUUAAGAAGUACCUGGCAUAUACUAGCAGCUAUGAAAAUAUUACCUGUAGCUGUAUAUUUUAUUAUAUUAUAAUUACAAGUUUGGAUUAUUAAGAUUUUAUUUAUACAUUCCCAUGACUGAAAUUCUUUGGCUUUCCACUUUGUGCAUCAAUUUGAAAAACAAGGUGGUCUAAAUACAUUACCCAAGGCCAGGAAGAUGAUUUUUAAAUACAUUUUUUAAAUCAAAAGAUCUUCUUUUAAACAUAGCCUUAUUGAGAUGAAGUUGUAGUACAAAUAACAGCAUUUCUUUAAAAUGUACCAGGUGAUGUGUUUUACAUAUAUAAACACUGGUGAAUCAUCAUCACAGUCAAAUAAUGAACAUACCUAUCACGCUCCAAAGUUUGAUCAUGUUCCUUGGUAAUUCCUCUAGCUACUUUUUUCUAGGCAGCUGCUGACCUAUCAGUAUAAACAAGCAUUUUCUAGAUUCUUAUUUCAAUUGGAAUCUCGUACUAUGGUUUUUAAUUUGAGAGGGAGUAUGAGUAAUUAUUUUGAGAACCAUCUUUGUUAUAUUGAUAGCUCAUUUCUUUCUUUCUUUUUUUUUUUCUUCCUAGUUAGUUUUUUUUUUUUUUUUCUUUUGUGGUGCUGCAAAUUGAAGUCAGGGCUUAGUGCUUGUUAGGCAAGUGCUUUAUCACAGAGCUACAGCCACAGACUCUUCAGCCUGUUUGAAUCGCUAACUGCUCUCAGUGUGUGGCUAUACAGUCAUUGUUACAACUCACUAACUGAUAACCAUUGAGAUUUUUGUUUUCAGUGUGCUCAUUUUUGCAUAACUAUGUUCUUCUCCAGAUUAUUUCAAUAGAAAAAAGUUAUUAAAAAAGUUAUUUAGUGCUGUCUAUAUACUAUGAAAACAGAAGAAUAUAGUGGUAAAAUAUUUUGUGUUGGGAUUACCUUUCUCUUAUAUAGUUUAUGCCUUAAUUUUUUAUGAAAAAAAUAUGCCAUUUUAGAAAUGCAAAAUGUGUGGCUGGAGAUGUAGCUCAGUGGUAGAGUUCUUGCCUAAUAUGCAUGUGGUCCUGGGACCAACCUGCAACUCUGUAUUU